rnacentral:lncRNA from 1 species
UCGACAAAUAUCUGCUCAUGACUCUCACAACAAGAUAUACGAAAUCGAGUAUAUAGUAUGGCAUACUCCUAUGCCUAAGAGGAUAAUGGAUCUCUUUUAAAGAUUUCUAUGCUGAACCCUUUUAGCACCUCUUUCAUGUACUUAUCUGUGAAAAACCAAAUAUCCUUUAAGAUUUAUCUCCAUAGACCUUUAAUCCUAGAAUAUAGGAUGUUUGCACUAGAUCUUAAUAAAAAUUCUAUAUAC